rnacentral:rRNA from 1 species
CAAAAGAAGGACUUGCAUAUGGUGUUCAUUGACUUGGAGAAGGCCUAUGAUAAGAUACCGCGGAAUGUCAUGUGGUGGGCCUUGGAGGAACACAAAGUCCCAGCAAAGUACAUUACCCUCAUCAAGGACAUGUACGAUAAUGUUGUGACAAGUGUUCGAACAAGUGAUGUCGACACUGAUGACUUCCCGAUUAAGAUAGGACUGCAUCAGGGGUCAGCUUUGAGCCCUUAUCUUUUUGCAUUGGUGAUGGAUGAGGUCACAAGGGAUAUACAAGGAGAUAUCCCAUGGUGUAUGCUCUUUGCGGAUGAUGUGGUGCUAGUUGACGAUAGUCGGGCGGGGGUAAAUAGGAAGUUAGAGUUAUGGAGACAAACCUUGGAAUCGAAAGGGUUUAGGCUUAGUAGGACUAAAACCGAGUACAUGAUGUGCGGUUUUAGUACUACUAGGUGUGAGGAGGAGGAGGUUAGCCUUGAUGGUCAGGUGGUACCUCGGAAGGACACCUUUCGGUAUUUGGGGUCAAUGCUGCAGGAGGAUGGGGGUAUUGAUGAAGAUGUGAACCAUCGGAUCAAAGCCGGAUGGAUGAAGUGGCGCCAAGCU